UCCCUGGUGGUCCAGAGGCUAACACUCUGCACUCCCAAUGCAGGGGACCUGGGUUCAAUCCCUGGCCAGGGAA
rnacentral:tRNA from 1 species